CCUGGGUGGCUGCAGUGGGGAAUAUUGGACAAUGGGCGAAAGCCUGAUCCAGCCAUGCCGCGUGUGUGAAGAAGGUCUUCGGAUUGUAAAGCACUUUAAGUUGGGAGGAAGGGCAGUUACCUAAUACGUAAUUGUUUUGACGUUACCGACAGAAUAAGCACCGGCUAACUCUGUGCCAGCAGCCGCGGUAAUACAGAGGGUGCAAGCGUUAAUCGGAAUUACUGGGCGUAAAGCGCGCGUAGGUGGUUCGUUAAGUUGGAUGUGAAAUCCCCGGGCUCAACCUGGGAACUGCAUUCAAAACUGUCGAGCUAGAGUAUGGUAGAGGGUGGUGGAAUUUCCUGUGUAGCGGUGAAAUGCGUAGAUAUAGGAAGGAACACCAGUGGCGAAGGCGACCACCUGGACUGAUACUGACACUGAGGUGCGAAAGCGUGGGGAGCAAACA
rnacentral:rRNA from 1 species